rnacentral:rRNA from 1 species
ACGAAGGGGGCUAGCGUUGCUCGGAAUCACUGGGCGUAAAGCGCACGUAGGCGGAUCUUUAAGUCAGGGGUGAAAUCCCAAGGCUCAACCUUGGAACUGCCUUUGAUACUGGGGAUCUCGAGUCCGGAAGGGGUUGGUGGAACUGCGAGUGUAGAGGUGAAAUUCGUAGAUAUUCGCAAGAACACCAGUGGCGAAGGCGGCCAACUGGUCCGGUACUGACGCUGAGGUGCGAAAGCGUGGGGAGCAAACAGGA